GUUGAACGCUGGCGGCAGGCCUAAUACAUGCAAGUCGAGCGGAACGGCGGAAGGGGGAUUAAUGCCGAGGAAUCUGCCUGGUAGUGGGGUAUCAAGUACGGAAACGGGCGCUAAUACCGCAUACUAUCAGAUGAGCCUAGGGCGGAUUAGCUAGUUGGUGGGGUAAAGGCCUACCAAGGCGACGAUCCGUAACUGGUCUGAGAGGGUGAUCAGUCACACUGGAACUGAGACACGGUCCAGACUCCUACGGGAGGCAGCAGUGGGGAAUAUUGGACAAUGGGCGAAAGCCUGACCGAGCCAUGCCGAGUGUGUGAAGAAGGUCUUCGGAUUGUAAAGCUCUUUAAGUUGGGAGGCGGUACCAAAAGAAUAAGCCCCGGCUAACUACGUGCCAGCAGCCGCGGUAAUAC
rnacentral:rRNA from 1 species